UGGGGAAUUUUGGACAAUGGGCGAAAGCCUGAUCCAGCAAUGCCGCGUGUGUGAAGAAGGCCUUCGGGUUGUAAAGCACUUUUGUCCGGAAAGAAAUCCUUGGCUCUAAUACAGUCGGGGGAUGACGGUACCGGAAGAAUAAGCACCGGCUAACUACGUGCCAGCAGCCGCGGUAAUACGUAGGGUGCAAGCGUUAAUCGGAACUACUGGGCGUAAAGCGUGCGCAGGCGGUUUGCUAAGACCGAUGUGAAAUCCCCGGGCUCAACCUGGGAACUGCAUUGGUGACUGGCAGGCUAGAGUAUGGCAGAGGGGGGUAGAAUUCCACGUGUAGCAGUGAAAUGCGUAGAGAUGUGGAGGAAUACCGAUGGCGAAGGCAGCCCCCUGGGCCAAUACUGACGCUCAUGCACGAAAGCGUGGGGAGCAAACAGGAUUAGAUACCCUGGUAGUCCACGCCCUAAACGAUGUCAACUAGUUGUUGGGGAUUCAUUUCCUUAGUAACGUAGCUAACGCGUGAAGUUGACCGCCUGGGGAGUACGGUCGCAAGAUUAAAACUCAAAUGAAUUGACGGGGUCAUA
rnacentral:rRNA from 1 species